UCCGUAGGCGGGCGACUAAGUCAGAGGUGAAAUCCCACAGCUUAACUGUGGAACUGCCUUAGAUACUGGUUAUCUUGAGUUUUAGUGAAGUAGAUAGAAUGUGUAGUGUAGCGGUGAAAUGCAUAGAUAUUACACAGAAUACCGAUUGCGAAGGCAGUCUACUAACUAACAACUGACGCUAAUGGACGAAAGCGUGGGGAGCGAACAGGAUUAGAUACCCUGGUAGUCC
rnacentral:rRNA from 1 species